GGCUUUUGUAGGGGAGGAACUGGGGAAGCUGCUGCGUUAUCCCUGCCUCUCCCCUGUCACCUCAAGUGUCCUUGUGCCCCCAGCUAUUUCCUCCCAUUUGCCUGAUUUUAUUAGAGGCAAUUUCUCCUUGACUUUCACCGUUGAUGGCUCUGAGAGUCCACUGACAAUUGCAGAGACUCUCAGGAAUGGGCAGGCUUUAUCUGCAUCCCUGCCAGGAGCCAGUUUCUCCAGGGCCUUACGCUCCUGGCCUGGGAGCCUGGAGGUGGCAUUCCUUGCAGGAGGGGACAGCCAGGGACAGGGAGGAACAGGGCUGCUGGCGGUGUGUUUCUGCCGUGUGUCCCUGGACCUCUGGGUUUGCGUGGCAGCAGCUCAGCCUGAGGCUAAGGGCGAGGGAGACAAGCCUGGGCAUGUCUGGUGGGGCAGGCUGGCCAGGAGCCCGAUUGCAUUAAGACUGCAGAGAUCCUUGGGAACCUCCACUGGACCAGAGGCAUGGCUGUCUCUGACUUCCAGCGUGAGAUGCUGCUGCAUGCACGUUCCUGAAGUCCUACAACAACAACGUGACAAAGAAGUGAUUCCUGCUUGGAGUUGGAGUAUCUGAGUGGAAGGAUCCCAGCUGCUCAGCAUCAGACAGACCUGGCUUCCAAGACUGGUUCUGCCGCUCCCUAUGUGACCCUGGAGAAUUUCCUUCACCUUUCUGAAUCUCAGUUUUCUCAUCUAUAAGAUGGCCAUACUUACCUGGCAGGGUUUGGUUGGCAUUGAGUGAAACAAUGUAAUAAAAGAUGAAAAAAAGAUCAAA